rnacentral:tRNA from 1 species
GGGCGGUUAGCUCAGUUGGUAGAGCGACUGAUUUACACUCAGUAGGCCGCAGGUUCAAGUCCUGCACCGCCCA